rnacentral:snRNA from 1 species
GUGGCUUCUCAGAGCAGCACAUAUACUAAAAUUGGAACGAUACAGAGAAGAUUAGAAUGGGCCCUGCGCAAGGAUGACACGCAAAUUCGUGAAGCAUUCCAUAUUUAA